GACGAACGCUGGCGGCGUGCUUAACACAUGCAAGUCGUACGGUAAGGCCCUUUCGGGGGUACACGAGUGGCGAACGGGUGAGUAACACGUGAGUAACCUGCCCACAACUUUGGGAUAACGCUAGGAAACUGGUGCUAAUACUGGAUAUGUGCUCCUGCUGCAUGGUGGGGGUUGGAAAGCUCCGGCGGUUGUGGAUGGACUCGCGGCCUAUCAGCUUGUUGGUGGGGUAGUGGCCUACCAAGGCGGCGACGGGUAGCCGGCCUGAGAGGGUGACCGGCCACAUUGGGACUGAGAUACGGCCCAGACUCCUACGGGAGGCAGCAGUGGGGAAUAUUGCACAAUGGGCGCAAGCCUGAUGCAGCAACACCGCGUGCGGGAUGACGGCCUUCGGGUUGUAAACCGCUUUCAGCAGGGACGAAGCUUUUUGUGACGGUACCUGCAGAAGAAGCACCGGCUAACUACGUG
rnacentral:rRNA from 1 species